AACGUAGGGGGCAAGCGUUAUCCGGAUUUACUGGGCGUAAAGCGUGUGCAGGCGGUUGGGCAAGUGGGGUUUGAAAUCCCCAGGCUUAACCUGGGAACUGCGUCUGAUACUGGAUGGCUUGAAAUCGGGAGAGGGAUGCAGAAUUCCAGGUGUAGCGGUGAAAUGCGUAGAUAUCUGGAGGAAUACCGGUGGCGAAGGCGGCAUCCUGGACCGAGAUUGACGCUGAUGAGCGAAAGCUAGGGGAGCAAACGGG
rnacentral:rRNA from 1 species